AAGUGGCGUACGGGUGAGUAACACGUGGAUCAUCUACCUUCUAGUGGGGAAUACCGUUGGGAAACCGACGACAAUACCGCAUAAGCCCGAGAGAGGAAAGCCGCAAGGCGCUGGAAGAGGAGUCCGCGGCUGAUUGGCUAGUUGGUGAGGUAAUGGCUCACCAAGGCUUAGAUCAGUAGCCGGCCUGAGAGGGCACACGGCCACACUGGCACUGAAACACGGGCCAGACUCCUACGGGAGGCAGCAGUGGGGAAUCUUGCACAAUGGGGGAAACCCUGAUGCAGCGACGCCGCGUGAGCGAUGAAGCCCUUCGGGGUGUAAAGCUCUUUCGGCAGGGAAGAUUAUGACGGUACCUGCAGAAGCAGCUGCGGCCAACUACGUGCCAGCAGCCGCGGUAAUACGUAGGCAGCAAGCGUUGUUCGGAGUUACUGGGCGUAAAGGGUGUGUAGCGGUUGGAUAAGAGUGGUGUGAAAUCUCCCGGCUUAACUGGGAGGGUGCCUACAACUGUCUGACUAGAGUAUGGGAUGGGAGAGUGGAAUUCCUGGUGUAGCGGUGAA
rnacentral:rRNA from 1 species